UAUCAAUGGCGUAUGAAAUGUUUCGGAGCAUAUCAACGGUAUAUGGAACAUUUCGAAGCAUAUCAACAAUGAAUGAAAUAUUUCGGAGCAUAUAAAUAACAAAUGAAAUGUUUCGGAGCUUAUCAGUGGCGUAUGAAAUGUUCCGGAGCAUAUCAAUGGCGUAUGGAACAUUUCGGAGCAUAUCAAUAACAAAUACCAAACAGAAGCUCAAACGUCGUCUUUGACGUUGCAUUCAUAUCAUUCUUAUCCAAAGCAUGUACAGAAACACAUAACCAAAGCUCUGGAUAUCAUAUCAAACAUACAGAAGGUGAAGUGGGACCAAAACAUAAUAUGGUACAUCCAUUUCUGAAUGACCACCAAACAUAAGUCUCCCAUGUCUGGGAGGUCUCCCACGUCUGGGAGCUCCAUCCACCCACGUCUAAGUGAAGUCAUAGGGGCCGACAGAGCAUCUCAGGCUCUAUGCAUAACUCCCUUCACCAUUUCUGGCGAAGGUUCACAAUAUCCCACAAACACCAGAGUACAAAAGGAUAGUAUG
rnacentral:lncRNA from 1 species